CCUACGGGUGGCAGCAGUGAGGAAUCUUGGUCAAUGGACGAGAGUCUGAACCAGCCAAGUAGCGUGAAGGAUGACUGCCCUAUGGGUUGUAAACUUCUUUUAUAUGGGAAUAAAAUGUUCCACGUGUGGGAUUUUGUAUGUACCAUAUGAAUAAGGAUCGGCUAACUCCGUGCCAGCAGCCGCGGUAAUACGGAGGAUCCGAGCGUUAUCCGGAUUUAUUGGGUUUAAAGGGAGCGUAGGUGGAUUGUUAAGUCAGUUGUGAAAGUUUGCGGCUCAACCGUAAAAUUGCAGUUGAAACUGGCAGUCUUGAGUACAGUAGAGGUGGGCGGAAGUCGUGGUGUAGCGGUGAAAUGCUUAGAUAUCACGAAGAACUCCGAUUGCGAAGGCAGUUCACUGGACUGCAACUGACACUGAGGCUCGAAAGUGUGGGUAUCAAACAGGAUUAGAUACCCCAGUAGUC
rnacentral:rRNA from 1 species